rnacentral:rRNA from 1 species
UGAGGAAUAUUGGUCAAUGGGCGCGAGCCUGAACCAGCCAAGUAGCGUGCAGGAAGACGGCCCUAUGGGUUGUAAACUGCUUUUAUGCGGGGAUAAAGGAGUCCACGUGUGGAUUUUUGCAGGUACCGCAUGAAUAAGGACCGGCUAAUUCCGUGCCAGCAGCCGCGGUAAUACGGAAGGUCCGGGCGUUAUCCGGAUUUAUUGGGUUUAAAGGGAGCGUAGGCCGCGUUUUAAGCGUGUUGGUAAAUGUAGACGCCCAACGUCUGCAUCGCAGCACGAACUGGGACGCUUGAGUACGCGCAACGUUGGCGGAAUUCGUCGUGUGACGGUGAAAUGCUUAAGUAUGACGGGGAACUCCGAUUGCGAAGGCAGCUGACGGGAGCGGCACUGACGCUUAAGCUCGAAGGUGCGGGUAUCAAACAGG